rnacentral:rRNA from 1 species
AUUGAACGCUGGCGGCAGGCCUAACACAUGCAAGUCGAACGAGCGGCGGACGGGUGAGUAAUGCCUAGGAAUCUGCCUGGUAGUGGGGGAUAACUACUGGAAACGGUAGCUAAUACCGCAUACCAUCGGAUGUGCCCAGAUGGGAUUAGCUAGUAGGUGGGGGAAAGGAUCACCUAGGCGACGAUCCCUAGCUGGUCUGAGAGGAUGACCAGCCACACUGGAACUGAGACACGGGCCAGACUCCUACGGGAGGCAGCAGUGGGGAAUAUUGCACAAUGGGCGCAAGCCUGAUGCAGCCAUGCCGCGUGUAUGAAGAAGGCCUUCGGGUUGUAAAGUACUUUCAGCGGGGAGGCGUUACCCACAGAAGAAGCACCGGCUAACUCCGUGCCAGCAGCCGCGGUAAUAC